GUGAAUCAUCGAAUCUUUGAACGCAAAUUGCGCCUUUUUCGGAAGGCAUGUCUGUUUGAGGGCACCAUUUAACAAAUAAUGUGCAGCGUUUUUUGUUGCACACGUUGAUGAGCUUUCCAAAAUUAUGUAUUAUUAUUUUUGGUGGCGCAUAAUAAACAGCGCGAUGCUUUUUUUCAGUUCGAGUGUAGUAAGAUCUUUGCUUGGGUUGUGAAAAAACAUAAUCGCGCAAUGGGUGUGGCAAUUUCUUUUUAUCCCUGCCCCAAUGCCACUCCUUCUCACGAAAGAAUGUCUAAUCUUCAGG
rnacentral:misc_RNA from 1 species